rnacentral:lncRNA from 1 species
GGUGCACGGUGCAUGGAGAUAGGGAAGAGAGAGUUGGGAAUCCCUGGGAUGUGCGCCCUGUAACGGGAAGGAGCGGGAGAAGACACUUAUUUCAGUUAGGAGGAGAGAAUGGCACAAGACUGCGAAGAGCAAUCUCCAGUUCUUUCUAGUUCUCUUCUAGGUCAUCCUCUGCCCUGGCUUCAUUCUCACGCUGUAUUAGCUUGCUGGGCUGUGUAACAAAUACCACAGGAGGUAGCUGGGAACAGGGGUGGGAGUGUGGGUCCCCAUCAUAGGGGAGGAGGAGGGAAAGGAAAGGGGGAAAAGGGAGACGGAGAGGGGAAGGGGAGCAGGGAUGGUGGAAGAGAGGGGAAGUGGGGAGAAACAGGAGGAAGAGAUGAGGAAGGGAGAGGGAAGGGAGGGGAGGAAGAGUUCAUUGCUGCAGGUUGGCUGGGCUGAGUGUUUUACAGAUGCCGUGGCUGAAUCCUGACAGCCCCCUGAGAAGUUGGCUUCUCUGUGGCUUAUAGCUAAGCUAAGCCACCUGCUGGAGCUGAGAUUUGGACCCCAGCAGCCUGAAUCCCAGCCCCUGCACACUGCCCCUCUGGGUAGGGGACUUCCAGCAU